rnacentral:other from 1 species
GCCUCUGUCUUAGGGGAGUAGCUAACCUGGGUCCCGCCCAGGGGUAAGCAUCAACACACUUGGCCUCAUGCCAUGGUGCUUACAGCAAGUUUAGGCUUGCCAGGCAAGACCUGAGCACGGUAUACCGCACAAAUAUAAAGGGGUGGGCGGUGGACUGUGCUUGGAAUUUUGCC